ACGGGAGGCAGCAGUGAGGAAUAUUGGUCAAUGGGCGCGAGCCUGAACCAGCCAAGUAGCGUGAGGGAUGACUGCCCUACGGGUUGUAAACCUCUUUUGUUUGGGAAUAAAGGAGCCUACGUGUAGGCUUUUGCAUGUACCUUUCGAAUAAGCAUCGGCUAAUUCCGUGCCAGCAGCCGCGGUAAUACGGAAGAUGCGAGCGUUAUCCGGAUUUAUUGGGUUUAAAGGGAGCGUAGGCGGCCUUUUAAGUCUGCGGUCAAAUGUCAGGGCCCAACCUUGGCAUGCCGUGGAUACUGAUGGGCUUGAAUACACGCAAGGCAAGUGGAAUUCGUCGUGUAGCGGUGAAAUGCUUAGAUAUGACGAAGAACACCGAUUGCGUAGGCAGCUGACCAGGCCGUAAAUGACGCUCAUGCACGAAAGUGCGGGGAUCGAACAGGAUUAGAUACCCUGGUA
rnacentral:rRNA from 1 species